rnacentral:rRNA from 1 species
ACGAACGCUGGCGGCGUGCCUCAUCCAUGCAAGUCGCACGCUUCUUUCCUCCCGAGUGCUUGCACUCAAUUGGAAAGAGGAGUGGCGGACGGGUGAGUAACACGUGGGUAACCUACCCAUCAGAGGGGGAUAACACUUGGAAACAGGUGCUAAUACCGCAUAACAGUUUAUGCCGCAUGGCAUAAGAGUGAAAGGCGCUUUCGGGUGUCGCUGAUGGAUGGACCCGCGGUGCAUUAGCUAGUUGGUGAGGUAACGGCUCACCAAGGCCACGAUGCAUAGCCGACCUGAGAGGGUGAUCGGCCACACUGGGACUGAGACACGGCCCAGACUCCUACGGGAGGCAGCAGUAGGGAAUCUUCGGCAAUGGACGAAAGUCUGACCGAGCAACGCCGCGUGAGUGAAGAAGGUUUUCGGAUCGUAAAACUCUGUUGUUAGAGAAGAACAAGGACGUUAGUAACUGAACGUCCCCUGACGGUAUCUAACCAGAAAGCCACGGCUAACUACGUG